rnacentral:rRNA from 1 species
UACGGAGGGGGCUAGCGUUAUUCGGAAUUACUGGGCGUAAAGCGCACGUAGGCGGACUGAAAAGUCAGAGGUGAAAUCCCAGAGCUCAACUUUGGAACUGCCUUUGAAACUCUCAGUCUUGAGGUCGAGAGAGGUGAGUGGAAUUCCGAGUGUAGAGGUGAAAUUCGUAGAUAUUCGGAGGAACACCAGUGGCGAAGGCGGCUCACUGGCUCGAUACUGACGCUGAGGUGCGAAAGCGUGGGGAGCAAACAGG